rnacentral:lncRNA from 1 species
CUGCUGUGUGUAAGGCGGUGUCCAUGACUUUAUCACCUUGCCUGAGAAAAGAUUGAAUAGAAGUAACUUGAUCAUUUGAAGGAGGCAACUGGCGAGCUGCAUCAACAAGGACCUCAGCCACUUCAGUGUGUCCGAAAUAUAUAGCACGGUGAAGUGCUGAAUGUUUAUAUCUAGUAAGCUUAGUCAAAAGAUUUUUGUGUGGAAAUUCCCUCAAAAUGAAUUUCACACGUUCUGUAUUUCCCUGCUGUGAUUGCAGGUGAAGGAUAGUUUCUUCAUCUUGGAACAGUCUAUCAGCUUCCAUCUCCAAUUCAGCAAUGGCAUCAGCAUCUCUGGCCAUGGCAGCAUGGAAGAGAGUAUCCAGCAGAUCCAUAACUAUAUUCUACUCUACCACUGCUCCUGCGUAAUGGAUAUAUAUCUCGGAUAAUACCACAAACUCGAUAGCAUCCAGGAGCUAGUUAUAUAAAUGGAAGCUUGGUAAGGAGAUGUUGACCAACCACAGUGCUACAUACGCUGUGCUGAUGUAAAUUAAUGGUUGUUGAGCUUGCUGGUAAUGAUAAUGAUGCAUUAUAAUUUUGAAAACUAAAAAGCUGUGAAAUAAUAUAUAUUAUUUAUAUCUUUCGUUGAAAUAAAUCAAUCAUAAGUUAAAUUGGCUCCCAGCUUUAAGUCCCGAAUAUAUUAUAGAACUAUUUUAGACCAUCUCUGUUUUGGUUGAGGAGAGUAUAACUAAUACAUGUAAACAAAGAGUCAAAUUACUUUGUAUCAGAAUACUUUUUAUCAUAUUAAGCACAAUUGUAUUUUUUUCGAACAUCAUUUUCUAAGCACUUUUAUUUCUUAAAGUGACAAAAGUUCGAUCACCAAACUGGACUUGUGCUGCCAUAAACAUUUUGAUCCAUUCUAAGAGUAAGGAUAACACAGAAACUAGCUUAUAGGAAGCUAUUUCAUUUGGCGUAAGCUUGUUUUAACACAACACAAAUUUUCUUUAUUU